rnacentral:rRNA from 1 species
UACGUAGGGUGCAAGCGUUGUCCGGAAUUAUUGGGCGUAAAGAGCGUGUAGGCGGCCAUACAGGUCAGCUGUGAAAACUCGAGGCUCAACCUCGAGACGUCGGUUGAAACCGUAUGGCUAGAGUCCGGAAGAGGAGAGUGGAAUUCCCGGUGUAGCGGUGAAAUGCGCAGAUAUCGGGAAGAACACCCGUGGCGAAGGCGGCUCUCUGGGACGGUACUGACGCUGAGACGCGAAAGCGUGGGGAGCGAACAGGA